GAUGAAGAACGUAGCGAAAUGCGAUAAGUAGUGUGAAUUGCAGAAUUCAGUGAAUCAUCGAAUCUUUGAACGCACAUUGCGCCCCUUGGUAGUCCAUGGGGCAUGCCUGUUCGAGCGUCAUUUGUACCUUCAAGCUCUGCUUGGUGUUGGGUGUUUGUCUCGCCUCUGCGCGUAGACUCGCCUCAAAACAAUUGGCAGCCGGCGUAUUGAUUUCGGAGCGCAGUACAUCUCGCGCUUUGCACUCAUAACGACGACGUCCAAAAGUACAUUUUUACACUCUUGACCUCGGAUCAGGUAGGGAUACCCGCUGAACUUAAGCAUAUCAAUAAGCGGAGGA
rnacentral:misc_RNA from 1 species